AGUACUUCAACAUUACAUCAAUGCUCAUCUAAACCAUGAUCUAUUCGAAACAGAUCCUAGAAUUCUAGAACCUACAGCAGGGUUGGAGACA